CGCAUCUGUGCAUGCAGCAUAUCAAUAAGCGGAGGAAAAGAAACUAACAAGGAUUCCCCUAGUAACGGCGAGUGAAGCGGGAAGAGCUCAAAUUUGAAAUCUUAAAGGGUUUCCCUUUACGAAUUGUAGUUUAAAGGAAGUGUUUUCUGUUGAGGUUUUGGUAAAAGUUCUUUGGAAUAGGACAUCAUAGAGGGUGAGAAUCCCGUAUUUGACCUUUACUUUCAACUUUGUGAUACACUUUCAAAGAGUCGGAUUGUUUGGGAAUGCAGUCCAAAAUGGGUGGUAAAUUUCAUCUAAAGCUAAAUAUUGGCGAGAGACCGAUAGCGAACAAGUACCGUGAGGGAAAGAUGAAAAGAACUUUGAAAAGAGAGUUAAACAGUACGUGAAAUUGUCAAAAGGGAAGCGUUUGACACCAGUGUUGUUUUUCUGAAAAUCAAUUAAAGAACUGUUCAUGCUAAGUUGUUUAGACUUUAUCAGCUAACUGUUUAGUUUUGAGCUUUUCUUUAAUGCACUUUUCAGUUAACAAGUCAACAUCAAUUUCUUUUGCUGUAAAAAAGCUUGAGGAAGGUGGCUUGAGAUUCGUCUUAAGUGUUUAUAGCCUCUUGCCUAUGCAGUCGGAGAGAUUGAGGUCUGCAGCGUAGAUCCUUCGGGGCUAAAUGCAUUUGUGCUAAGUUAUAGCAUUUUAUAGACAACUUGUUGACUAUGAUUUGUCUUGUAGCUUACUCGCUUAUGUUAUUUUACCUACGCUUAGGAUGUUGACUGAUAUGUAGUCGU
rnacentral:rRNA from 1 species